GAUGAACGCUGGCGGCGUGCCUAAUACAUGCAAGUCGAGCGAACGGACGAGAAGCUUGCUUCUCUGAUGUUAGCGGCGGACGGGUGAGUAACACGUGGAUAACCUACCUAUAAGACUGGGAUAACUUCGGGAAACCGGAGCUAAUACCGGAUAAUAUUUUGAACCGCAUGGUUCAAAAGUGAAAGACGGUCUUGCUGUCACUUAUAGAUGGAUCCGCGCUGCAUUAGCUAGUUGGUAAGGUAACGGCUUACCAAGGCAACGAUGCAUAGCCGACCUGAGAGGGUGAUCGGCCACACUGGAACUGGGACACGGUCCAGACUCCUACGGGAGGCAGCAGUAGGGAAUCUUCCGCAAUGGGCGAAAGCCUGACGGAGCAACGCCGCGUGGGUGAUGAAGGUCUUCGGAUCGUAAAACUCUGUUACUAGGGAAGAACAUAUGUGUAAGUAACUGUGCACAUCUUGACGGUACCUAAUCAGAAAGCCACGGCUAACUACGUG
rnacentral:rRNA from 1 species